rnacentral:rRNA from 1 species
CCUACGGGCGGCAGCAGUCGAGAAUCAUUCACAAUGGGGGAAACCCUGAUGGUGCGACGCCGCGUGGGGGAAUGAAGGUCUUCGGAUUGUAAACCCCUGUCAUGUGGGAGCAAAUUAAAAAGAUAGUACCACAAGAGGAAGAGACGGCUAACUCUGUGCCAGCAGCCGCGGUAAUACAGAGGUCUCAAGCGUUGUUCGGAAUCACUGGGCGUAAAGCGUGCGUAGGCUGUUUCGUAAGUCGUGUGUGAAAGGCGCGGGCUCAACCCGCGGACGGCACAUGAUACUGCGGGACUAGAGGAAUGGAGGGGGAACCGGAAUUCUCGGUGUAGCAGUGAAAUGCGUAGAUAUCGAGAGGAACACUCGUGGCGAAGGCGGGUUCCUGGACAUUAACUGAUGCUGAGGCACGAAGGCCAGGGGAGCGAAAGGGAUUAGAUACCCCUGUAGUC